CAUUACCGAGUGAGGGCCCUCUGGGUCCAACCUCCCACCCGUGUUUAUUUUACCUUGUUGCUUCGGCGGGCCCGCCUUAACUGGCCGCCGGGGGGCUUACGCCCCCGGGCCCGCGCCCGCCGAAGACACCCUCGAACUCUGUCUGAAGAUUGUAGUCUGAGUGAAAAUAUAAAUUAUUUAAAACUUUCAACAACGGAUCUCUUGGUUCCGGCAUCGAUGAAGAACGCAGCGAAAUGCGAUACGUAAUGUGAAUUGCAAAUUCAGUGAAUCAUCGAGUCUUUGAACGCACAUUGCGCCCCCUGGUAUUCCGGGGGGCAUGCCUGUCCGAGCGUCAUUGCUGCCCUCAAGCACGGCUUGUGUGUUGGGCCCCGUCCUCCGAUCCCGGGGGACGGGCCCGAAAGGCAGCGGCGGCACCGCGUCCGGUCCUCGAGCGUAUGGGGCUUUGUCACCCGCUCUGUAGGCCCGGCCGGCGCUUGCCGAUCAACCCGAAUUUUUAUCCAGGUUGACCUCGGAUCAGGUAG
rnacentral:rRNA from 1 species